rnacentral:rRNA from 1 species
AGUGAACGCUGGCGGUAGGCCUAACACAUGCAAGUCGAACGGCAGCACAGUAAGAGCUUGCUCUUACGGGUGGCGAGUGGCGGACGGGUGAGGUAUACAUCGGAAUCUACUUUUUCGUGGGGGAUAACGUAGGGAAACUUACGCUAAUACCGCAUACGACCUACGGGUGAAAGCAGGGGAUCUUCGGACCUUGCGCGGUUGAAUGAGCCGAUGUCGGAUUAGCUAGUUGGCGGGGUAAAGGCCCACCAAGGGGACGAUCCGUAGCUGGUCUGAGAGGAUGAUCAGCCACACUGGAAGUGAGACACGGUCCAGACGCCUACGGGAGGCAGCAGUGGGGAAUGUUGGACAAAGGGCGCAAACCUGAUCCAGCCAUACCGCGUGUGUGAAGAAGGCCUUCGGGUUGUAAAGCCCUUUUGUUGGGAAAGAAAAGCAGCAGGUUAAUACCCCGCUGUUCUGACGGUACCCAAAGAAUAAGCACCGGCUAACUUCGUG